CCUACGGGAGGCAGCAGUGGGGGAUAUUGCACAAUGGGGGGAACCCUGAUGCAGCGACGCCGCGUGGGUGAAGAAGCGCCUCGGCGCGUAAAGCCCUGUCAGCAGGGAAGAAAAUGACGGUACCUGAAGAAGAAGCCCCGGCUAACUACGUGCCAGCAGCCGCGGUAAUACGUAGGGGGCAAGCGUUAUCCGGAUUUACUGGGUGUAAAGGGGGCGCAGACGGCGAUGCAAGCCAGGAGUGAAAGCCCGGGGCCCAACCCCGGGACUGCUCUUGGAACUGCGUGGCUGGAGUGCAGGAGGGGCAGGCGGAAUUCCUGGUGUAGCGGUGGAAUGCGUAGAUAUCAGGAGGAACACCGGCGGCGAAGGCGGCCUGCUGGACUGAAACUGACGUUGAGGCUCGAAAGCGUGGGGAGCAAACAGGAUUAGAUACCCUAGUAGUC
rnacentral:rRNA from 1 species